GUGACUCCAGCACUGAGGUGGCUGGGGAAUCACGUCCUACCGCACCUGGCAGCCACACAGGAAGUGCUCAGGGAUGAGGCAGCAAGGAACAAGCUCUUCAAACUUUACACCCAGCUCUGCCAGCCCAGCAGCACCUCAGCUGGGCUCUCUGGGGAGCUCGUUGUGCUCAGCUCCAUCACGCUCCAGCUCAUGGAGGAACAGGGACUGUCCAGCACCUUCCACAAGCUUGUGAAAUCCCUGUGCCUGUCAGCAACAAUGGAAGAGGAUGCGGACAAGACAGCUGUUUCUGUAUUCCUGACUUCCAUUUACAUCAGGGACAUGUGGCUUGGAGCACAGAAGCCAAAUAUGUUACUUACCCCUGUCAGAUUGGUCUGCAUUAGUGCAGGUUAUGAAUUACAGGAUGACUCAGGAACUCGGAAACAAGGAGAGGAAACUAUUAUGUCUCUUUGUUACCGCUGAAGAUUAAUAGAUCACGCGGACACAGGUCGAGGAAUUUUUAACUUUUUGAAGAACCAGAAAGUCUGUUUGUGCACAUGUGUGUCGUUAAUAUCCAUCCUCACACCAAAACAGGAUGGGAACAAAAGGAUGCAGAGCUUCCUCCGGUGGGAUGUAAGUGCAAAUAACGAGGACCCAGAGGUUUGAUCAUGAUGAUUUACUAUUUGUUAAAGAGCCUGGUUGCUUUCAUCAUACCAAAACCAGUAUGAAUAGAAGCCUGAAAUUGGGAAUCAUGAUUGUCUUCUUGGGUUUAAAAAGUUUUAGUGGCUUUUAAGGACGUUUAUAUCAGAUCUUGGUUUAUUUUUAUUACCCUUUUAUUUAAUUAAAAAAAAAAAAUUCCUGAUCCAUCAGUGCUGCCACAAUGUGCAACAAAAGCCCAUCUUCCCUCCACUUGGAAAAGGUGAGAGAUGGAAAUAAACUCCAGAAGAUUUUCUGCUCAUUGAUUAUGCCUAAGUUUUAUUGGGAAUUCCCUGUGAAAUCUGUUACAUUGUUCUCAAAUGUGGCCAAGAGAGUAGGUGAACAUGUCAGUGCAGACCUGCAAACAUGCAGUGCCAGAAUGAGAGCCUUUGAAAUGUAAAUCAGGAUUUAUUCAAUGGACUCAUAACAGCAUGCUGUCCCAGGUCCUUUGUCCAAAUAUUGUACAGGGAAAAAACAGAACUGCACAUUCCUUGUGAUAUGUAUUGACUUUUCGGGAGGUUAAAUAAAAACGAGAUGAAAAUGAGGGAAUUGCUACUACAUGUAAAUAUUCUUGUCCUGAAGGAGCCAUCGGCUCUGUACCAAGACUGGAGUUAAAAAUUGUAUUUGUUUAAAAACCUGCAAAGCCUUUAGUGGCUCCAUUUUCUGUCAUGUAGAAUUCCUAGGGACUGACAUCAGGGAAUCUGUAAGCCAAAUCUGGCUCAGCCACAUGUAGCCUAGCUGAGCUCAGUGCAGCUGAGUGCAGCCGAAGCGAGCCGAGCUGUCCCAAAGAGUGGAAUCUAGACAAGUGUAGCCGAAAAGCGGCGACAUCUGCCAUUAAUAGCCGCUCUUAGCCGAACAGCCGGUAAUCACUGAGUGGAUCUGGUAAUUUCCGAGUUCAGCCAAAGAGCCAAACCUGGCUGAGAUUUACCCAACCGAGAUGAGAUUAGCCGACUUUAGUUGAGUUUAUUUGAACAGAUCCAAAUGUAGCCUCAUUCAGACAAACCAGGCUGUGUUCAGCCGAACCAGCAGAGCUCAGCCAAACCAUGGCCAAUCUUACGAGAUCAGCCAAACUGAAGUGAGAUCAACCGAAUCUUACCAGUUUGGCUGAACUGUCGCAAGUGCAGUUGAACCGAGGAAAACCUUAUGAGCUCAGCCAAACCGAACCAAGCUCUGCUGAACCCAGACUCUGGCUAUCGUGCCCUUUAAUUAGAGCGAGUGCUGUCACUGCCUCGUCAGCUCCUGCCCACCCCCCGUUCCCAUUCAUGUCCAUGCGGUGGCCAGGCCACCCACAGGACGCAGCAGCAGGAAAACACCAAGCUGUGCAGCUUUAAUGUGAGGUGGCCGCGCUUUCCCACGCGGCACCCUGGCCUGGCGCACGCCACCCUCAGGGAGCUGAGGAAGGCGGCUGUCUCUAUAGACAGGCUGUCUCUAUACUCGUGGUUACGUUUUUUUCUCCCCUUGAACUGAAAUUGAUGAGAAGGAAGCAGUUUUUUCUCUUGUUCAGACUUGGUUGUUUAUUCUUCUCUUAUCUGCAUUACAUGUAUACAAGCAUAUACAUGUAUACAUGUAUGCAAGGUACAAGGAGAUACAUACACUAAGAUAGAAUGGUGCAAAAUGGCUAACAAAGAUCUUCUUCAAGUUCUUUUAUGUGUCUAUUUACCCAA